AGUGAACGCUGGCGGUAGGCCUAACACAUGCAAGUCGAACGGCAGCACAGUAAGAGCUUGCUCUUACGGGUGGCGAGUGGCGGACGGGUGAGGAAUACAUCGGAAUCUACUUUUUCGUGGGGGAUAACGUAGGGAAACUUACGCUAAUACCGCAUACGACCUACGGGUGAAAGCAGGGGAUCUUCGGACCUUGCGCGAUUGAAUGAGCCGAUGUCGGAUUAGCUAGUUGGCGGGGUAAAGGCCCACCAAGGCGACGAUCCGUAGCUGGUCUGAGAGGAUGAUCAGCCACACUGGAACUGAGACACGGUCCAGACUCCUACGGGAGGCAGCAGUGGGGAAUAUUGGACAAUGGGCGCAAGCCUGAUCCAGCCAUACCGCGUGGGUGAAGAAGGCCUUCGGGUUGUAAAGCCCUUUUGUUGGGAAAGAAAAGCAGCAGGUUAAGACCCCGCUGUUCUGACGGUACCCAAAGAAUAAGCACCGGCUAACUUUGU
rnacentral:rRNA from 1 species